GAUAAACGCUGGCGGCGUGCUUAACACAUGCAAGUCGAACGAGAACGGAUUAUAGCUUGCUAUAAUUGUCAGCUAAGUGGCGCACGGGUGAGUAAUGUAUAGGUAAUAUGCCUCUUACUAAGGGAUAACAAAUGGAAACGUUUGCUAAUACCUUAUACUCCUUAUUAACAGAAGUUAAUAAGGGAAAGAUUUAUUGGUAAGAGAUUAGCCUGUAUUGUAUCAGUUAGUUGGUGGGGUAAUGGCUUACCAAGACUAUGACACAUAACUGGUUUGAGAGGAUGAUCAGAAAAACUGGAACUGAGACACGGUCCAGACUCCUACGGGAGGCAGCAGUGGGGAAUAUUGCACAAUGGACGAAAGUCUGAUGCAGCAACGCCGCGUGGAGGAUGACACAUUUCGGUGCGUAAACUCCUUUUAUAUGAGAAGAUAAUGACGGUAUUAUAUGAAUAAGCACCGGCUAACUCCGUGCCAGCAGCCGCCGUAA
rnacentral:rRNA from 1 species